CAGGGCGUCGUGGCGGGCGUCUGUAACCUAGCCGGGGGCUGUAUUCAGGGGGAGUUGACAUCAAACCCUGUCUUUCUUUCAUGAUGUCAUUACUAAACAAACUAAAUUUUCUUAAGUGGAGCUUAACUC
ensembl:ncRNA C05D9.12 ncRNA